rnacentral:rRNA from 1 species
CCGACGGUGAGAGGCGAAAGCUGGGGGCACGAACCGGAUUAGAUACCCGGGUAGUCCCAGCCGUAAACGAUGCUCGCUAGGUGUCUGGGAUGGUGCGACCGUUUCAGGUGCCGCAGGGUAGCCGUGAAGCGAGCCACCUGGGAAGUACGGCCGCAAGGCUGAAACUUAAAGGAAUUGGCGGGGGAGCACUACAACGGGUGGAGCCUGCGGUUUAAUUGGACUCAACGCCGGAAAACUCACCUGGGGC